rnacentral:lncRNA from 1 species
GUUGCUUCAGAUUGUUACAAAUCCAUCUGUGUAUUAGCCCCGUGGUCUACCACCCAAUCUGCAGCCAUGUUUGCAUUCACAGGAGUGGGAGGCAAAGAAUCUGGAAGCUAUGAGAAGGGACUCCAGAUGUCAAGUAGGAAGGCGUGAUAACUACCAGAAGCAUUGGGCAGGUUCUUAGCCUAUGCUUUUCUUUAUGGAGACAUCUUAGACUUGAAGAAUUGAGGGU